GAUGAACGCUAGCGACAGGCCUAACACAUGCAAGUCGAGGGGCAGCAUGGUAUCAGCUUGCUGAUACCGAUGGCGACCGGCGCACGGGUGAGUAACGCGUAUGUAAUCUGCCUGUAACAGAGGGAUAACCCGGAGAAAUCCGGCCUAAUACCUCAUAGCACAUAUUAUUCGCAUGAGUUUUAUGUUAAAGAGACUCGGUUACAGAUGAACAUGCGUUCCAUUAGCUGGUUGGCGAGGUAACGGCCCACCAAGGCAACGAUGGAUAGGGGUUCUGAGAGGAAGGUCCCCCCACACUGGUACUGAGACACGGACCAGACUCCUACGGGAGGCAGCAGUGAGGAAUAUUGGUCAAUGGACGAGAGUCUGAACCAGCCAAGUAGCGUGAAGGAUGACUGCCCUAUGGGUUGUAAACUUCUUUUAUACGGGAAUAAAGUUAGCCACGUGUGGUUUUUGUAUUGUACCGUAUGAAUAAGGAUCGGCUAACUCCGUG
rnacentral:rRNA from 1 species